ensembl:lncRNA
UUUUUUUUUUUUACAGAAAAAGUCUUGCUUGCAUUUCAUCUUCUGCAAAAUGAGCAAUAUACAGGCAGGUCUCAGAGAUACCAUGGGUUUGGUCCUAGACCGCAGGAAUAAAGUGACUAUCGCAAUAAGGCAAAUCACGAGUUUUUUUGGUUUUCUAGUGCACAUAAAAGUUAUGUUUACAGUAUACUGUACGUAUCUAUUAAGUAUGCAAUAGCUUUAGUCUAAAAAUUAAAAUAUUUUAAUUAAAUAUUUCAUUGCUAAAAAAUACUAACAUCAUCUGACGACAAAGUUGCCACAAACCUUAAAUUUGUAAAAAAUGUAGUAUCUACAAAGCACAAUAAAAAAAAGCACAAUGAAACCAGGUAUGCCUGUAUUUUAUGUCCUGUUCCUCUCAAUUAUUUUUAAGGAAACAUGGUACAGUUGAAUAUCCCUAGAUUUGUUAUCCCAGUGCCAAAAGAACUCUCCCUUAGGGCAUAAGGGAUUUAGAGACAUCAGUUAUUAAGAGCCUAUGGAGUUCUUGUCAUGGCUCAGUAGUUAACUAAUCUGACUAGGAACCAUGAGGUUGCGGGUUCGAUCCCUGGCCUCGCUCAGUGGGUUAAGGAACUGGCGUUUCCAUGAGCUGUGGUGUAGGUUGCAGACACAGCUCGGAUCCCGCGUUGCUGUGGCUCUGGUGUAGGCUGCCAGCUAUGGUUCUGAUUCAACCCCUAGCCUGGGAACCUCCAUAUGCCGCAGGAGAGGCCCAAGAAAUGGUAAAAAACAAAACAAAAAAAAAACAAAAAAAAAAAAAAACAAAAAAACAAAAAACCAACAAAAAAAACCGCCUAGGUGGAGGCAGACCUGCUCUUGAUUCCUGCAUAUUUCUAUUUUCUAGAUAGAAUAAUUCAGCAGAUCAGAAUAGAGAAGUUAAGGUAUAUAUUCUCUCCACCCCAGCCCCUUGGUCAAAUUGGACCAGCAGCUGCAGGCCUACUCAGGGCAAAUCUGUGACCAACUGCCAGAGCUUAACCCACUGGGCCAGUCCAGGGAUCAAACCCACAUCCUCACAGUCAGGUACUUAACCUGCUGAGCCACAACAAGAAUUCCAAGGUAUAUAUUCCUAAAUGCUGUCUUCACUGAGCCUCCCACCCAAAGCCGAUGUUACGCUCGAUGGGUUUCAAAUGCUGCUGAGUGCUCCACACCUUGAAAAUCACUCUCCCAAAGCUGGAACACCAAUCUAUGCCUCAGGAUUAGGGUCAUCACUUGUGUCUCUGAGAAACUGCCAGUCAGGCCAGAGUUGAGGUUAAACUGAUCAAUUUAAAGAGUUGAAAGAAAGAAAGAAAGAGAAGAAAAGAAGAAGAAAAAAGCUUAAACCUUAUCACCUUAAGAUUAAUUUUUUUUUUUUUGGAGCCCUCUCCACUUAAAUGAGUUGGUGACAAUGGCAUACUACUCGCCUAAGAACCGGGGCAACUCAUCUCUGCUCUAGGCCUUUGAUAAACCAACAAUUAAUUCACGAAUGCCUCAAAUUCCUAAUCUUUAAAAAAGGCAUUCCAUGUGGGUGAUAUUUUCAGGAAUCAACAGCUAAUGUUCCCCCACCCACUCCUGAAGCUAUGCUAUCAACCCAGCAGGCCAUUAUAACCCAGGGGCUCCUAAGCACAAAGACUUUCUAUGUUCCCCAUUUCUUGUUUUUAGGAAAUGGGCCUUUCAGCCUCCAUCACCUUCCCUGAGUUCCUGGGGACAGGUCAGACAGUUGCUCAUCAGAGAAGAAAGGGGACACAAAGACAAGGGAGGAACAGUUAAGAAACAAUAGUACAGGCUUGGGGGCAAGAUCCCAGUUCCCUCUCAAGGGACACACAUAACAACGUAGGCAUCUCAUACGCCUAAGAGAAAAGUUCUAUUCCUUAUGCUUCUCUUAGAAACGACUGUUUUAAAAUUAAGCUUAGAGUCCUUCCUUGUCCUUCUCCCUGGCUUAAUUGCACCCUAAACACGAUCACCUGUAAGCUAAAGAUUAGGAACCCUGAGCACAAUCACAUGUGAUUAAUGAAGAAUAUUAGCACAUGAUGUUUUUCAGGAACCUUCCCUAUUUUGUUCCAAUCUCUGAUCAAUAUGCCCCUUUCCAAUGUACUAUUGUUCUAGGCAACAAGCCAGAAGACCACCAUCAUGAUCAUGCCAGAUCUCCUGACGUCAGCUUUGAUGACUAAGAUUCCCCCAAAGAAAGAUGAAUGCAUGUUUGCCCUCAUCUCGAUUCCUAUCGAAAACCUGUUUUUCUCCUUUUUACUAUAAAACUCCCCGCAAUUCUUCCCAAAGGAGGGCACAGUCUUCAAGGCACAAGCCUGCUAUGGCCUCACUUGCCUGGCAAAGCAAUAAAAUCUUUUUCUCCUCCUCCGAGUUUCUCUUCCUCACUGGUGGCAGAGGCCGAGUUUCCUGCAACAUUGUCACAGGCAAGCCCUGAUACUAAAGACGUCUCAACAGACCCAUUCAAGUACAACAGCACACACAAAGAACAAAGGAUCAGAGAAGCUGUCCAGCAAUUCCACUUCCGUCCCCAAAUGGAGGUAACAUCAUUACAAUGAAUUUCUCAUCAAAACGACACACUGUGGCUGGAGAAAUAAGGGCAGUUAGCAAAAUGUAAAGUUUCUCAGAUAUCAAAUAAGUUCCCUUAAACACUUCAGAAAAUAAAACAGUAGCUUCUUGGACCUGGACUAGGCACAAAGAGGGAGAAAAAAAUGAAGCUGCGGAAGAAGACGGUGGUGGGAAGGAGCGUGAGUUAAGACCUGAUUUGGGGCAAAAGCGAGUUGCACGGGGCAGGCCAGAGACUGCACCACGCAGCCUUUACACCUUCCUAACUACCUACUGUCGGCCUCGCCCCUCAUAAACUUCCCCGCAACUCACUUCCUCGGCGACGGAGGGAGGACCCAGGUCAGUAG